AGGCAUAGUGUUGUGAAUUUGAAUUUGGGUGUACAUGAUCUUACUAGCUUCUAAUUCUACUGAGCCAUACGGAUGAUGGUGUGUUUGCUCUCACACAUUUAUUCAAAGGAUCAUUGUGAUGAAUGAUACCAAUUCUAGGUUGCUGGUAAUGCAUUUUCACACCAUCCGUAUGCUUGUGGUAGUCAAUAUGAUACAGGAGCAUUAAUCCGUGGAUUUCGUUUUGGUUUUGACAGGAACUUGCAUCCAAUCCUUCUAUUCCCAACUGGUGAGUUUAUAGGUUGCAGUGUUUGUGGUGGUCUCCUCCUGAUGGAGCUCAGUAUAUGCCCUUCUUGUUUACCUAAAAAUCUCUUCUCUCCUAAGAUCUUGUAGGAAUCUUUCUUUUUUCCUUAAGAAGCAUGCUACCAAUGGACGUCAGAUGUUCCAGCACCGAAAAGUUGGUGACCAUGCUUGGGUGUUUCAGAAUUCAUAUGAAAAGCAUUUAUUUUUUACUUUCAGGGAUUGCUCCAUCUUGCAGUUUAUAAUACGGCUGGACAAUUACGAUUUCACAUAUAUCUGAAAAACCACAGCCCAUCUGUGUUCUAUAAACGUUGGUGUGGUCUUAUGUGCACCAAGAAUUCUGUCAUUAACAUAAGGUAUUUUACACCCGCACUGCAAACUGUUGAUAAAUCUGAUGUGUUGUUUGCACUGAGAAUUCUUACAUUUGCGUAAGGUAUUUUACACUGGCGUUGUGAACUCAUUGACGAUUAGCAUUCAUCAGCUAAGCACACCUUGAUGUACGCAGCUUGUAUAUUAACAGGUCUUCAGAAAGGAGUAUAUCCAGUGUUUCUUCUCCUUACCUGUCACAUGCCACAGCUGUGCGAGGAUGUCGUCGGCCGUGUAUUGGGAGAUGGUGCGGUUGUUCUGCCACCGGCUACUCUCCACAGGAGGAAGCACGUACGCAAGCAUGUAAUGGUCAUUUCUUUUUGUAAUUAGCAUGUAAUGGUCAUUGGGUAGCACACGAUGAUCGAUCCAUAUAGGAUGCUAUUAAUCUGG
rnacentral:lncRNA from 1 species